rnacentral:rRNA from 1 species
GAUCAUGGCUCAGGAUGAACGCUAGCUACAGGCUUAACACAUGCAAGUCGAGGGGCAUCAGGAAGAAAGCUUGCUUUCUUUGCUGGCGACCGGCGCACUGGUGAGUAACACGUAUCCAACCUACCCUUUACUCGGGGAUAGCCGUUUCGAAAGAAAGAUUAAUACCCGAUGGCAUAAUGAUUCCGCAUGGUUUCAGUUAUUAAAGGAUUCCGGUAAAGGAUGGGGAUGCGUUCCAUUAGGUUGUUGGU